AUACGGAGGAUCCGAGCGUUAUCCGGAUUUAUUGGGUUUAAAGGGUGCGCAGGCGGGAGAUUAAGUCGGCGGUGAAAUUUUUGAGCUCAACUGUAAAAGGGCCUUCGAAACCGGUUUCCUUGAGUGUAGAUGAAGUAGGCGGAAUUUGUGGGGUAGGGGUGAAAUGCAUAGAUAUCACGAGGAACUCCGAUUGCGCAGGCAGCUUACUAAACUACUACUGACGCUCAGGCACGAAGGCGUGGGGAUCAAACAGGAUUAGAUACCCUGGUAGUCCACGCAGUAAACGAUGAUUACUAGCUGUUUGCGAUACAAUGUAAGCGGCUGAGCGAAAGCGUUAAGUAAUCCACCUGGGGAGUACGUUCGCAAGAAUGAAACUCAAAUGAAUUGGCGGGG
rnacentral:rRNA from 1 species